rnacentral:pre_miRNA from 1 species
AGUGGCAUUACUGGGUGAUAUGGUAAGUUUAUGUUUUACUUUAAAAGAAACUGGAAAACUGUCUUCCACAGUGGAUAUACUAUAUUGUAUACCCACAAACAAU